UGGUCACAUCGCUUCAUCUGGAUUCAGGUUUCUCCUGGUUGUUGCUACACUGUCCACUUUACAGCUCAACAAACCUGUGAGACGUUCGCAGCUUAAGCAGAGCAGCAGCUAGGACCACAGGCCACAGGUGGGAUCUGUGAUGGGGAUCCCGACGGGGACUUUUGGAUCUUUAGGGGAUCAGUAGAAACCAGCUUGGUCAAGGCUCAGCGGCACUUUCUGCCUUUGCAUAAAAGCCAGCACAAUCCUGCCCGAGGUGGUCCACGCCCUGCUGGCUGCGCUAAGUGCUCCCCACACACCGUGUUCAGUCCUUACAGCCGACCCGAGCCUCAGGUAAGAAACUGUGUAAGCUUCAAGAACAGCAGGAAGAAGAGGCAUCUCCAAACCAGUCUUCCUGGCUACUUGGCAGUUCUCCAAGAAGACUUGGCCUAGUCUGGGAUAGUAG